rnacentral:tRNA from 1 species
UGUAGCUCGGUGGUAGAGCGCUUGCCUUGCAGGUAUGAGGCUCUGGGUUCAAUUCUCAGCA